UUGUUUAUGAGAUGCUGUGUCACGGUAUAUUUAUGGAUUUACUGUUGAUAUACUUUUGAUUUUACAUUGAUACGUGGUAUGAUUUUUUUUUUAAACUAUACAGGUGUUACAGCAAGGGGUUAUAACGAUUUAGAAGGUUUUUAUUAAAAUUUUAUUUCCAAGGCCACUCACCUUUGCUUUGUUUCCACCCUCCAGGUUUUUUUUUUAGCUGAGCUUUUUUAUCGACGAGGAUUCGUGACAAAUCUUGGUAUUGGAGAUUACCUUCAAUGGUAUGAUUCUCAAUCC
rnacentral:lncRNA from 1 species